CACGUAGGGCAGCGAGCGUUGUCCGGAAUUAUUGGGCGUAAAGAGCUCGUAGGCGGCCUGUUGCGUCCGCUGUGAAAGCCCGGGGCUUAACCCCGGGUCUGCAGUGGAUACGGGCAGGCUAGAGGUAGGUAGGGGAGAAUGGAAUUCCCGGUGUAGCGGUGAAAUGCGCAGAUAUCGGGAGGAACACCGGUGGCGAAGGCGGUUCUCUGGGCCUUACCUGACGCUGAGGAGCGAAAGCGUGGGGAGCGAACAGGAUUGAGAA
rnacentral:rRNA from 1 species